rnacentral:lncRNA from 1 species
GUCGCGCUGAAGGAAGCAGUUGACGUAUUUGUUGUCAACUGAAAUCUCCGUGACAUCCACAAAGAGCAACGUGCUCAUCGUCAGUGGCGAUGAUGGCGAGGACCUCCCCACCACGGACUUGGAACCACAAUCCCUCGAUCGGGAGCAACUUGCUGCCGGACCGCCGAACAGCCGCUGACCCAGGCUGGAGAAGUUCAGCUGGAACGUCAAGUAUCGAACCGGCGUCAGAGUGGCCACAUCUAUCGUCACGACAACGAGGCAAUCAACACCAUUGCUGGAAAUCCCGACAAACGCCUGGUUACGCACACACAUACACAAAAAUAAAGACUCAAAACAGCGCUGGCCACAAGGCCAGAAGACGACGACGAUGGCGGCGUUCAGCGCCGAUGACGUGCAAGACAACUCGCGCUUUCGUACCACGAGUCUAACUAAUGAGUAUUUGCGGGGUAGAUCUUCGGUAGCCUCAGGAGAGGUUAGGGCGGGUCAUUGAAAUAGAGCUUCGGUAACACAGGCUUACGGAGUUACCCUGUUGGUGAUGGCAGAGGAAACGCGAGGAGCGAAACGUUGGUGGAUGGCAUGAAUGGCCCAAAGAGCGGAAAACCACGCACGACGGCAAAAUGUGAUGUUCACGGGAGCGUAUUCGCGCAAUGUGUUCUUCACCCAGUCACCAAGGUGUUUCUGCACCCUUUUAACCCUGUACUGCACAACGCAGAUUCUGUACGGUGCGCGUUUGAGGCUUCGUAAUUUAAAUUGGCGCACGUGGAACACAAGUAGUCGUAUUAAUUCACAAUCAGGGCAUUUUUAUGUCCACUACAUGACGAAGGCCUCUCCCAGCGAUCUCCCAUUACGGCUGUCCUGUGCCAACUACUUCCAACUUGCGCCUGUGAAUUUUCUCAUCUCAGCUCGACUGCGCUUCCGUUUUCUUAGCACCCAUUUUGUAACGCUAACGCUCCGCCGAUUAUCAAUCCUACGCAUUGCAUAGCCUACCC